CCUACGGGAGGCAGCAGUAAGGAAUAUUGGACAAUGGACGCAAGUCUGAUCCAGCCAUGCCGCGUGAAGGAUUAAGGCCCUCUGGGUUGUAAACUUCUUUUAUAGGGGACGAAAAAAGGGCUUUCUAGCUCGACUGACGGUACCCUAUGAAUAAGCACCGGCUAACUCCGUGCCAGCAGCCGCGGUAAUACGGAGGGUGCAAGCGUUAUCCGGAUUCACUGGGUUUAAAGGGUGCGUAGGCGGGCAUUUAAGUCAGUGGUGAAAUCUUCGAGCUCAACUCGGAAACUGCCAUUGAUACUAUUUGUCUUGAAUAUUGUGGAGGUGAGCGGAAUAUGUCAUGUAGCGGUGAAAUGCUUAGAUAUGACAUAGAACACCGAUUGCGAAGGCAGCUCGCUACACAAAUAUUGACGCUGAGGCACGAAAGCGUGGGGGAUCAAACAGGAUUAGAUACCCUGGUAGUCCACGCCCUAAACCUAUGGAUACUCGACAUUUGCGAUACACAGUAAGUAGUNUGAGAGAAGACAUUAAGUUAUCCCACCCGUCGGAAGGUACGACCCGACGAGGUUAGUAAACGUACGAAAGGAAAGUUAGUACGGACGUGAGACGUACGACCGACGGACGGACCGACCGAGGGGAGGGUUAGGGAG
rnacentral:rRNA from 1 species